GAGGGCGACGUAAUCCACUUCGUUAGUAAAUAGAUAAGAAAGAGGGUCUACGACUACGAUAUGAUAAGUAGACUGGAACCCAGAAUAGAAGGUAUGUAAUGUCUACUAAAUUUUUAUCUAUGGUAAGGGAAGAAAAAGUAAAAUAUAUGUAGGUAGGUUGGUACAUAGCUAGAAGAAAUGCGAGCGUUCUUUGAUUUUCAAAUAAUAUUUUAGGAAGGUACAGAAAAUAUUAUAUAGGAAAAAACAGCCACUAUGGAUGCGAUGUGGCUCCGCAGUCGCUUUACAGGAUUUUGUAUUACAGAAAAUCACCUUAAAAGGACAUUUUGGUAACUAGCGUAUGGUCGUUUGGUCGUCCGUGAACGAUUCUGAAACUGAUCGUUUGGCACUCAAUGGCAGUUCUAAUUCUGAAAAGAAGAGCAAAUCGAUUCCGAAUUUUGAGGCAAAAUCAAAACCAGAAUCACACACACAUGUUCACACUUAAGACGUCAAAUUAAUGAAAUGUUAUUUUUUGUUGUUCAUUUCUAAAUAUUGAGAUUUUUUACUAUGCCAAACUUUAAAUUAUACUAAAAUAAAGUAUAGAAAACAAAAAAAUAGAUAAAUUUUUAUGGAAUAAACACGAAUAAACAAAACAAAACUUUCAUCAGGCGUUCGCAUUAUUUUCCGGUUCACAAAUACAAAGAAACCCAAACUUUAGAAUCAAAAAAAAAAGUAUCCAAGCCUGUUCGUUUGGAAUCAAGGAUCGGACAGUCCUGGACCGUUCUAAGAAUUACCAACCGAGAAAAUUGAAAAAUAGAGAAACUACUUUAUUUUAAGAAGAAAUUUUAUUGCACGUGUUUUAAUGAUGUUAUUGUUAAUGGGGGGCUUAGUUCCUUUUCUGUCGAGGGGACCAGGCAAAAUACUUUUGAUUAAAACGCUGUUGAUAUUGGCGACUGCCUGUCGACUUUACAUGCUCGAAGCGGAACAACGAAGUUGCGUGACCGGGACAGAGGACCCAAAAAGUAAAGUUAAAAUAAGAAAUGCCGCGAACAUUCGGCCACUAUUCGGUAUUCGGCCUAUUUUUCUGUUAUUCGGUAUUCGAAUACCGAAUACCAAAUGGAGAAGAAAAAAGACAUAAAUUAUUAUACCAAAAUGUGUAUUUUAUUAAAAAAUUGUAAUUUUAGUACUUAUAAUCUACUAAAAUGCCUGGCUACACAGUGAUUUUUCAAUCGAUUGAAAAAUCACAUGCGGUGGCUACACACUGUUGUGCCCAAUCACGUUCCACUUUUACAUUUUCUAGGAACAAAUGUCAAAAAAAGGAAAAACUUAGCAAUGGAACUGUACUGCCCUCAGAAAAUUCAGUUUCCUUCAUGAGCAUCUUCCCCCUUCACUCUUCAUCCCUCUUGCUCACAAACUCACUGCUCAGGUGAUUGAAAAAUCACCGUGUAGCCUGGCACAAAGGCAAGUUCUGUUGAAUGAAAACUAUUUGUUCCGCAUUUGUUGGUAGUAAACGAUUACGUUUAUCUUCGUAGACUAUUCCUCCUUCGAAAAAUAGUCUUUCGCUGUAAACACUUGUCCCAGGAGAAGAAAGGUAGGCUUUAGCAAAUGUUGUCAAAAUAUGAAAUUUUGUACCACCACUUGUAUGGGUCCGCCGUUCGAUCUUGGCGAACAGUCCUCAUAUAUAAUUCGAUUUUAGAUGUCUAUCUUUGGUAGUGUGUUCCGACAUUUAUCUUAAAAGUAGUUCACUUAUUCAUGGUUACAAUACGAUGUUGUUGGGAAUAUUUUAAGCCACAUCUAUUCUUGAGACAAAGUAUACAUUUUUUGAAAUUACCAACGUUUUUUUCUGAGUGUCCUUGGCCGAAUAUUCAGUAUUCGGUAUUCGGCCAAAUCAAUGUUCGCGGCAUCUCUAGUUAAAAUCCUGAGAACCCGAGAAGCGGGUAAAAAGCUGUUGACAUUGGCGCCUGCCAGACGACUUUACAAACCCUAAACGGGGCAACGAAGUUGCGUGAGCGGGACAGAGGACCCAAAAAGUAAAGUUAAAAUCCUGAGAACCCCACGAAGCGGACCAGGCAAGGUACUGUUUACUUAAAAAACUGUUGACAUUGGCGCCUGUCAGACGACUUUACAUACCCUAAGCGGAGCAACAAAGUUGCGUGAGUUGGUCAGAGGACCCAAAAAGUAAAGUUAAAAUCUUGAGAACCCGCGAAGCGGGCCAGGUAAGAUAAAAAAUUAAGAAUCUGAAAAAAGUAGUUUCCGUGUUUUUCAAUUUUUUCAAAAACUAUUAGGCAUAGAAACAUAUGAUUUUCAGUGUUUGAUCAAGAAUCAAUUGAGGCAGUUUACUUUAUCAAUCAAUUUUGUAUUGAAAU